GACCACCGUCCUAAAGUGUCAGGGCCCGUGGAGCCCUAGCGCUGGUGAGCGCGUGUCUCUGUCCCCUUCCUGCUGUGCGCUCCAGAGGGUUCCAGGUACAGCUGAGAGAUGUCCACGGACCAGGGGGCAAGACCUGGGGAGAAGGAUGGCCCUGGUCUAGCAGGGUAAUCAGACCCUUCUGCACACGGAGCCUUCAAGGCCUUUGCAGAGCACAUGCACAGCAAGCCCAGGAGGGAGGUGACUUCACUGCUGUGGGGCAGACCCCUGCCCCCCGCAACUCCUCCAGCCAUCGGAAAAUUCAUGCAUGCACAGAGGUCUGGUACAAGCCGGUGUUCUGGAGAGGGAGCGAGGAAAGGGGCCGAGUUCUGGGUUUGGGUCAGUCUGGAGUGGAGAUAAAGGAAGAGCCGUGAAACCAGCACUGCCCAGUAAAAAUAGUAUGCGAGCCACAGAUGUAAUUUUUCAUUUCAGCCACAUUAAGGCAAUAAAAAGAGACAGAUGAAGUUAA